rnacentral:piRNA from 1 species
CUGAAAGCUAAGGAUGACCACUCUUUGG